rnacentral:sRNA from 1 species
AAAUAUAAGGGUGGUGCAUUAUUCUAGUUAUAUUGCCUACUAUGAGGGUGGGGCUAAAAAUCCACUAAAGGGCACAUCGUUGAAGUUUCUUGUUUGUGCGCAAAACGCCCAGUUAUGCGUGUUUUCAGGGAGUAAAGAUUAACGGGUUAUAUGUAACGGCAUACAUAGCUAAACCCGGUAAUCGCGGAGGCUUCGAUCAGUAUAAAAAUGCAGUUUGAAGUGUAACCUAUAAUGAUAUGCGGGAUGCAUGUUAGUUAUAGAGUAGCCUGUCUUGAGUGAUCGUAUUGGGAUUAGCAUCAAAGAGGAAUAACAUUUGGCCAAAUGUUAUAUUUUUCUUGCUAUGAAAUUACGACUGCAAAAAAGACUAGUAGUAGAUCCAAUAUAUGAAGGAAAACUUCUAGAAUGUUUAUUCGAUUGAAAGAAUAGGAGAGCCUGAGGAUUAAGGUACGGAUUUAAGUGGCAAUCUGGUAUUCUCAUUUAUCUUUUGAGAAUGUUUUGUUAAAUGGAAACAGCUAAACAGUAAUGUUUAGUACAAAACAGAGAAAUUCGACUAGACCUAAACCGUAAAAUUUACUUAGGCUUUUACCACUAAAAUAAAUAA